rfam:Colletotrichum chlorophyti strain NTL11 CCHL11_scaffold11, whole genome shotgun sequence.
GCCUUGCUAGCUCAACCGGUAGAGCGUGAGACUCUUAAUCUCAAGGUUGCGGGUUCGACCCCCGCGUGAGGCU